UUCGGGAGGGCGUUUACCACGGUAUGAUUCAUGACUGGGGUGAAGUCGUAACAAGGUAACCGUAGGGGAACCUGCGGUUGGAUCACCUCCUUACC
rnacentral:rRNA from 1 species